UCAAUGAAUAUUUCUUACUAUUCUUGGGUUGUUUUUUUUACAGAGAUAGAAGUUGAGUUUUGUUUAUUUAUCUUGGUUUUUUUUUCUGUUCAUGCUCUUUCUAUUUUUGGGGACUGAUUUUGCUGUUCAAUUUUUCAAGUUGCCAUGGCUUAAUGCUCAUCUUACAAAGAUCUGGCCUUUUGUUAACGAGAUCGAACAUGUUAUAGGUGUAUUUAAUCAAUAAUCUAUAAAAAGAUUUAAGAUCAUUAGACAUAUAGUCAAG